rnacentral:rRNA from 1 species
UACGUAGGGUCCGAGCGUUGUCCGGAAUUAUUGGGCGUAAAGGGCUCGUAGGCGGUUCGUCACGUCGGGAGUGAAAACUCGGAGCUUAACUCCGAGCCUGCUUCCGAUACGGGCAGACUAGAGGUAGGCAGGGGAGAGCGGAACUCCUGGUGUAGCGGUGGAAUGCGCAGAUAUCAGGAAGAACACCAGUGGCGAAGGCGGUCUCCUGGGGCAUUCUUGACGCUGAGGCGCGAAAGCUGGGGGAGCAAACGGG